AAUGCCAACAUUUUCCAUAAUAUAUUUUUCGAUUAUUGUGUUUUGAAUUUUUUAGUCCUUUAAAAUAAUAGUUAAUAAUUGAUAUAAUUCUCAAUUUAAAUAAAAUUAUUAAAAACCUUUAGUCAAACUAUUCCUUCUAUAAACUUGCACUCCAAGUACAAGUUCUACUUUUUGGGAAUGCUGUAAUAUUAAUUUAGUUAUAAUAAUUGUAAAUUUAUA